CCUACGGGUGGCAGCAGUGAGGAAUAUUGGUCAAUGGGCGCGAGCCUGAACCAGCCAAGAAGCGUGAAGGAUGACUGCCCUACGGGUUGUAAACUUCUUUUAUAAAGGAAUAAAGUGAGGCACGUGUGCCUUUUUGUAUGUACUUUAUGAAUAAGGAUCGGCUAACUCCGUGCCAGCAGCCGCGGUAAUACGGAGGAUCCGAGCGUUAUCCGGAUUUAUUGGGUUUAAGGGGAGCGUAGAUGGGUUGUUAAGUCAGUUGUGAAAGUUUGCGGCUCAACCGUAAAAUUGCAAUUGAUACUGGCAGCCUUGAGUACAGUUGAGGUAGGCGGAAUUCGUGGUGUAGCGGUGAAAUGCUUAGAUACCACGAAGAACCCCGAUUGCGAAGGCAGCUUACUAAACUGUGACUGACAUUGAUGCUCGAAAGUGUGGGUAUCAAACAGGAUUAGAUACCCCAGUAGUC
rnacentral:rRNA from 1 species